AAAAGCUCCAGGUUGUAAUUUGUCAAUCAUUUUAUAUUUUAAUUCAUGAAACUUAAUAUUUUUCUAACUUACUUAUUAUAUUCAGCUGAUUGGUGGGAGUCGUAUGGAGAUGAAUGUCUGGAGCUACAAAGGUUCAUACAAAGAAGAGAAAUCGGUUGCAUCAACAAAGAAUGAAUGAUCUUGUUUUUGUGAUGUACAAUUUGAAGUUAAAGCGUAGACAAUAGAAACGAGCAAGCAAGUUUGUGAUACAACAACCUAUAAUUUUGGAUGAAUUGCAAUCUGAUGAUGAAUAGAUUACUGAAAUAGAGGAACCCGUUCUUCCGACGGGUGGAGAAUGGUUUGAUGAACUCGAUCGAGCGGCUAGAAGAUUCACUAGACAAGCAAUACGAGAUGAGAAUGAAAGCUUGUACAGAGAAGUACAAGAUAAUGUGGUUGAAGUCCAAACAUUAAGUGAUGAUGAUGAUCCUGCUGAAGGAAAUGAGGCUGCUGCAACUUUUAUUGGCUCUAAUGAAAUUGAUUUGGAUGAUUUUGGAGUUGUUGAUGAUACCGAUGUUAGAGGGACUACCACAGGAAUUGAUAUAGGAAGUGAUGAUGUAGAUGGCGGUAGUUUUGGCUUUGAUGAUUAUUAAUUAAUUUCAAUUUAUUUUCUAAGAAUGAUUUGUAAUUACUACUAAUUAGUGCUUUGCACUAUUCUAAACAUCAUUAUCAUUAUAAAAUUUAGCUUUAGAUAGAUAAGUUUGACAAUAUUGUCAUUUUCUUAGGUUAUAUGUAAAAAAAAAUGUAUUUAAUAUCAUGAUUUACAUAAAAAAUGAGUAAAUAAGUGAAACAG